rnacentral:rRNA from 1 species
GGGACGGAACGGCUAGCGUAUACAUGCAGUCGAGCGGACAGAUGGGAGCUUGCUCCCUGAUGUUAGCGGCGGAGGGGAGUAACACGUGGGUAACCUGCCUGUAAGACUGGGAUAACUCCGGGAAACCGGGGCUAAUACCGGAUGGUUGUUUGAACCGCAUGGUUCAAACAUAAAAGGUGGCUUCGGCUACCACUUACAGAUGGACCCGCGGCGCAUUAGCUAGUUGGUGAGGUAACGGCUCACCAAGGCAACGAUGCGUAGCCGACCUGAGAGGGUGAUCGGCCACACUGGGACUGAGACACGGCCCAGACUCCUACGGGAGGCAGCAGUAGGGAAUCUUCCGCAAUGGACGAAAGUCUGACGGAGCAACGCCGCGUGAGUGAUGAAGGUUUUCGGAUCGUAAAGCUCUGUUGUUAGGGAAGAACAAGUACCGUUCGAAUAGGGCGGUACCUUGACGGUACCUAACCAGAAAGCCACGGCUAACUACGUGCCAGCAGCCGCGGUAAUACGUAGGUGGCAAGCGUUGUCCGGAAUUAUUGGGCGUAAGGGGCUCGCAGGCGGUUUCUUAAGUCUGAUGUGAAAGCCCCCGGCUCAACCGGGGAGGGUCAGUGGAAACUGGGGAACUUGAGUGCAAAAAGAGGAGAGAAAACCUCCACGUGUAGCGGAGAUUUGCUUAGAGAUGGGGGAGAAAACCGGUGUGGAAAAGGGGACUCUCUCGCCUGUAUCUGACCCUGAGGACAAAAAGCGUGGGGAGAGAACGGUAUUAAAGCGGGUUGUCGUCCCACCCCCGUAAAAAAUGACCGCCCACUGUUAGGAGGUUCCCCCCCCUUUUUGGGUCCACCUAUCCCCAUAACUCACUCCACCCCGCCCAUGGGGGUCCGGGGCUUUAAACUCAAAGGAAUUGACGGGGGCCCGCACAAGCGGUGGAGCAUGUGGUUUAAUUCAAAACAACGCGAAGAACCUUACCAGGUCUUGACAUCCUCUGACAAUCCUAGAGAUAGGACGUCCCCUUCGGGGGCAAAGUGACAGGGGGUGCAUGGUUGUCUUCAGCUCGUGUCGUGAGAUGUUGGGUUAAGUCGCGCAACGAGCGCACCCCUUGAUCUUAGUUGCCAGCAUUCACUUGGGCACUCUAAGGUGACUGCCGGUGACAAACCGGAAGAAGGGGGGGAUGACGUCAAAUCUUCAUGCCCCUUAUGACCUGGGUUACACACAUGCUACAAUGAACAGAAUAAAUGCCCCGAAACCGCGAGGUUAAGCCAAUCCCACAAAACUGUUCUCAGUUCUGAUCGGGGCUGCACCUCGACUGCGUGAAGUUGGAAUCCCAGGAGUGAGGAUCCCCCCGCCCCCGGGGAAUACGUUCCCCGGUUUUGACACACCUCCCGUUGCACACGGAGUUUUUAACACCCAAAUUUAAGAGGCCCCUUUAGAUCUACCCCCCUAUGUGGGACAAUUAUUGGCGUAAAUCUUAACGGUGUGCGUGAAAAAUA